rnacentral:rRNA from 1 species
AUUGAACGCUGGCGGAAUGCUUUACACAUGCAAGUCGAACGGCAGCACGGGUGCUUGCACCUGGUGGCGAGUGGCGAACGGGUGAGUAAUAUACCGGAACGUAUCCAAUAAUGGGGGAUAACUAGCCGAAAGGUUAGCUAAUACCGCAUAAGCCCUGAGGGGGAAAGCUGGGGAUCGUAAGACCUAGCGUUGAUGGAGCGGCAGAUAUCUGAUUAGCUAGUUGGUGGGGUAAGAGCCUACCAAGGCGACGAUCAGUAGCUGGUCUGAGAGGACGACCAGCCACACUGGAACUGAGACACGGUCCAGACUCCUACGGGAGGCAGCAGUGGGGAAUUUUGGGCAAUGGGGGCAACCCUGAUCCAGCCAUUCCGCGUGAGUGAAGAAGGCCUUCGGGUUGUAAAGCUCUUUCGCAAGGGAAGAAAACUCGAUCUCUAAUAUAGGUUGAGGCUGACGGUACCUUGAUAAGAAGCACCGGCUAACUACGUGCCAGCCGCCGCCGUAA